ACUGUGGGCCUGUUCUCUUGGUGAGGAAACUGAGUUAGAGCGGUUAAGUUACUUGUCCAAGGCAGGUCACCCAGCUCUUGAGCAGGAGAGAUGUGUGAAUUGGGUCGUCUGGCUUCAGAGCCCAGGCCCCCAUAUGCACACCCACACCGCCUGCCCUUUUGUGCUGUAUCUCUUUUCCAAGAUAAAGGAGCCCACCGAGGGAUGAGGCAUUCCAGUUUAUAAGAUCCAAUUCAAGGCAGGAGAGGGAGUGGAUAAAUGGGAAUCAAUGUGACAUACUGUAUGUAUUUACAGCUUUGGCGCAUUCGGUUUCUGGACUUGUUGAUCUUAAAAAUAAUACUGUCAGCUAUUUUACUAGCAAGAUGGGCUUAUUCAGGAGUGACAGAGAAUCGCAAUUUAAGACGAGCAAGCGCUGACAAAACCAUAGGCAAGUCUCACAAGGAAGGACAGGAACAUUAUUUUAGGGAGGGGGGAAAGUUGCUGGAGAACUUGUUUUGAAUUGGAAGUCUGUUGGAGAAAAGCAGCGGUUCAGGGUGAUGACAGUUUCUCAUUGGCUAAGUUACAGGGGUAGUGGAUUUCUUAUAGAAGAUUCAAUGUACCUCCUCUGUCAGGGCCUGGAAUUGAUCUUUCUUUCCUGUUGAUGUUUCUUCUUUUGGGGGCUAUAACUGACAGUUCUCCCCCUAACUUCUGCUGCGUGGUAAGGCAACCCCUUUUGGCCUCCCUUUCUAGCCCCCCCCCAAGUCUGCUUUAGUGAGGCUUUUCCCAUUAUUAAUUUUCACAAACUCAAGACUCAAUAUAUCUAACAUCAUAGUCAAUAUUUGCAUUUAAAUGUCUCAUGGGCACGUCGAACGAAAUCCCUGUCUUUGCCCGCAACACCUGCCCACUCCACAGUCUUCCUCCCAUUUGUAGUAAAUGGCAAGUCCAUUCUUUGAAUUGCCCAGGUCAAAAUCCUUGAGGUUACCCUUCACUCCUCUCUCUCUCUCUCAUAUGCCACAGCAAAUCCUGUCAGUUCUACCUUAAAAUAUCUCCGGAAGUGACCACUUCUCACCACCAAUGCUGGUUUCCACCACUCGGGCCUCCCUUCCAUCUUUACCCAUCUAACAACUCAGCCCUAGAAGGGCCCCCUUCUACCUCCCUUUCCUCCCAUCACACCACUCUCUCCCUGACUUGCUCUGCUUGAACCACUCUGGUUUCCCUGGUGUCCCUUGAAUGGACUCUGCACACCCUCCUUUAUGCCUUUGGACCUUCCGGUUCCCCUGCCUGAAACAGUCUUCCCCCAGAUAUCCCUAUGGCUCACUCCUUCACUUCCUUCAGGUUUUUACUCAAACAUUAUUUAUGGAGCACUUUUCUGGCCACAUAUGUUAAAUUGGAUCCCCAUUCCCUGUCCCCUUUAUCCUGCUUUAUUUUCCUCCCCAGCACAUAUCAUCAUCUGACAUGCGAAGUUUACUUGUUUGACUAUCCCUCUAGAAUAUAAGCUCCAUGAGGGCAAGGAUUUCUUUCUGUCAUGAUCACGGAUGGAUUCCCUACAUCUAAGCAGUGCCUGGCACAGAGGAUACCAUUUCUACCAUAUGGGCUGACACGUGAGCUUUUGAUUGCUUAAUUGAACGAUGCCAACAGCACCCUCCUCCCUCCCCCAGUCAUGACAACCAAGAAUGUCUGCAUGGGGCGCCUGGGUGACUCAGAUGGUUAAGCGUCUGCCUUCGGCUCAGGGCAUGAUACCAGGGUCCUGGGAUCCAGCCCCACAUCGGGCUCCUGGCUCAGCGGGGAGCCUGCUUCUCCCUCUCCCUCUGCCUCUCCCCCUGUUCAUGCUCUCUCUCUGUAUCUCUGUGUCUCAAAUGAAUAAAUAAAAUCUUUAAAAAAUAAAAAUAAAGUAAAAAAAUGCAAGAAUGUCUACAGACAUUGCCCAGUGUUCCUGGGGUUGGGGGGGAGCGCAAAGUUACCCAAAGUUGAAAACCUCCCAUCUAGCCUGACCAAAUGUCACUCUAGAGAUUUUCAAGGGUGGUUUGGCUUUUCUCAGUUUUCACCUUACUUGUUGACUUAAAACUUAAUGCCUGAGAGAAUGAGAUACAAAUGAAUUAGUUGGAAUCCUCAAAUCACUAAAUUCUCACCAUCCCCUGCCAUAAACUUAAUUUUUAGGAUGAGUGAGAGACCACUGUUUUAAAAUUUGUCAUGAAGUUAUGGUAAACAUUAACUCUGGGAUUUGUUCUGAGAUCAGAAUGUGUACAUGUGACCCUGUGGUGCCUCUUACAUCUGUAGCGGAUGGGCCUGGUGGUAGCUGGGUGGUGUCAUGCUACCUCCGAGGCUGCAGAAUCUUUACACAUUUUGAAGAAAAUUUAAGUUUGGGUUCUGUUGUGUAGACCGAAAAGGUCGUAGUUCUGCAAAACUUUUGGACCAUGUCUUCGGCCUGCCUCUUGGUUAACUGGAAAAUGGGAUUACCCCAGCAGUCCUGUUACCGUCGCACAUUCAUUGGGUGUCAGGGCUAGUGGGGAUCUGGUGUCUUUAUACUAUACUGUGGGGGAGUGAGAGUGAGUGGAAGCAAUAGGAACGAAUUGAGGUUAGAGCAGCCAAGCUCAGAUGGCAUUUGGAAGACUGACAGUGUGUAGGAGUGGCAAAGGGGGCAUUUUAGGUACCAAUUCAAUUCCAGCCUAGUUAGUGAGUUCGGGCACAGAGAAUAGGCCAGGGUAGAGGCCUCAUCUCCUCAGAGGAGAUGAGGGCCAUUUGGGGGAUCUGAGAAGGCCUUUCUUCUGUUAUGAAGAUGAGGGAGAUGAGGGCCAUUUGGGGGAUCUGAGAAGGGCCUUUCUUCUGUUCUGAAAACCCCGAGUAAGGCAGGCAGCAGAGGUGGCUGGUGUUAACUUGGCCCAGCCUUGGUAGCUCUCCAUGGUACUUGGAAGCAAUCUGGAGGCAGGUGGGUUUGCGGCGUUAUCUGUUCAGGAUCUAGUGGAGCUGAUGGAGGUGGCAGCAAGCAGCAGGAGUUCUUUGUUUUGUUUGAAGGGAUUUGUUUUUGCCACCUAUGCACAUUAUCCUUCCUGGGUCCCAUGGAGUCUUGUUCAUGGUCGGUGGGACUUUGUACGACUUGGUAGAAAGCCAUAUAGCAUAGGGCCUCAAGAGAAAAGCCCCCUGCCUGUCCACAGUUUGCUUCAUCCUUGGCAAUCUUGACACUCGGUGCUAUUGCCUAGUACUUGUCGUGAGUCUUAGCCCUGAGUGCAUUCCAUACUUGUUUAAGGAGCCUGUUGAGGAAAAUAAAAAGUGACGCCUGGGCCACCCCAUCAGUGAUGGUGGCAGGAGGUCCCCAGUGUCUGUAGUUUUAAAAAGCUCCACAGAUGUUUUACGACAUGAAGCCAGAGUCAAAAACCACAGGCAGAAGUUGCAAACUUGCUUCAGGGGCGAGCAGAUGUGUUUAAUUUGGCCCAUUUAGGGAUUUUUGUUUGUUUUUAAUUAGGAACCAACACUUAAGAAUUCUGAGAUUUCAGGGGGGGAAAUAAUCUAGGUUUCUGAUUUCUCUUGGAAAGCUGGAACCAGCCUCUUCCAGUGGUCUUGUGCAGUAACAAGUCUCCAGGAAUGGAGGAGCAGCUGCUGCCCUUAAGAUAGACUGUGUGCCCCAAAUUAUAACGUUGAAGAUACAGCCAACACAUGAAAUGCAUAAGAGAGAAUAUUAGAUGGAAAUUGUAGACAUACUGGUCACAAAUAUGUAAGAUGUGUCUGCAAAUAAAUAAAAAGACUUGGAAUGCUCAAAAUAAAAUAAAAAGAUAGAUUGUGUGCCCUCCAGGACACCCUGAGUAGUUUGGGACCUGGCCCACUUCCUUCUUUUCCAGUGCCUGCCCGACCUUGGUUGGCAUUUGGGUUUCAGCCCUGUUGUACCACCUCUUAGACGCAGCUGUCUCUGCACGUUAGCGGAGAACCUCAGCGAAAAGCUUUUGACAGUCUGUAAUGGAUUCAGGAUUCACUGUCCCCCGACUGCUAGGCCUCAGCAGCAUAGGGCAGCAGUUCUCCAGGAUGGUCCAGGGGACCCUGGGAGUCCCCAAGACCUUUUCAAGGAGACUGCAAGUUUAAAACUGUUUUCAUAACAAUACAAAGACAUUGUUUGCCCUUUUCACUCCCAUUCUCUUGUGAAUGGACAGUGGAGUUUUAUCCAAAGGUUGUAAUAGUGUGAUAUAGCAACAGAUGGACUGCAGAAGCAGAUAAGUGACUCUAGCUGUCUUGUCUUAAGCCAGACAUUAAAGAGAUUUGUCAAAAUGCAAAAUAAUGCCACUAUUCUCACUAAUUUUUUUUUAAAAAGUUAUUUUUCAUAAAAUUUAUUGUUUAGCUAAGCCUUUGCUAUUAUUAUCCUAAAUAAGUUAACAUUUUGGUGUUUUCUUAGUUUUAAUUUCUAACCUGCUAAGUAUCAACAGCUGUAGCCAACAGUUACAAAAGCUCUUGGAGAGUCUCAAUAAUUUACAAGUGUGGAAAGCGGUCUCGAGACCAAGCAGUUUGAGAACUGCUGGCAUGUGAUAGUGGAGCCCCAUUGUGAGGAGCCUGAGUGGAGCCUGUAGUGAGAUCGGCGCGGGUUUCAUCCCCAUCUCUCCAGCCUGCGGGAGUUUUAACCUGGGACUGACUGGAAGGCUCCGGUUGACUACUCGGGGCACAGUUGGAAAUGCCUGGAUUGAUUGUCCUUGGUUUGUGUCUUACCUCUGCCACUUACUUGUCCAGGAUCUUGGGCAGGAUGUUGGACCUCUGUUCCUGCAUCUGUAGAAUAGGGAGGACGCUAAUCACGUCUGAAGGUCAUGUUCAGAGAGAACAUUUGUCGGAUAAUUGACCCACUGGCAGGUGCAGAUAUACUGUCAGUUACUAGUGGAUGUUACUCUUCUGAUUG